CAGUAGCCGCGGGAAUACGGAGGGAGCUAGCGUUGUUCGGAAUUACUGGGCGUAAAGCGCGCGUAGGCGGCUUUGUAAGUCAGAGGUGAAAGCCUGGAGCUCAACUCCAGAACUGCCUUCGAGACUGCAUCGCUCGAAUCCGGGAGAGGUGAGUGGAAUUCCGAGUGUAGAGGUGAAAUUCGUAGAUAUUCGGAAGAACACCAGUGGCGAAGGCGGCUCACUGGACCGGUAUUGACGCUGAGGUGCGAAAGCGUGGGGAGCAAACAGGAUUAGAUACCCCCGUAGUCCCUGUCUCUUAUAC
rnacentral:rRNA from 1 species